rnacentral:rRNA from 1 species
GACAGAGGGUGCAAACGUUGCUCGGAAUCACUGGGCGUAAAGGGCGUGUAGGCGGGAGAGAAAGUCGGGCGUGAAAUCCCUAGGCUCAACCUAGGGACUGCACUCGAAACUUCUUUUCUUGAGUGCCGGAGAGGAAAGCGGAAUACCUGGUGUAGAGGUGAAAUUCGUAGAUAUCAGGUGGAACACCAGUGGCGAAGGCGGCUUUCUGGACGGUAACUGACGCUGAGACGCGAAAGCGUGGGGAGCAAACAGG